AGCCUUUCUCCCCACUCCCCCCUUUAAUAAGCCUUAACUAAAAUAUUUUAACAGCCUAGUAAAGAAGAUUAAAAAACUUUUAAGAGCUAUAAAUUGGUACCGCAAGGGAUCGAUGAAAUAAAAAUGAAAUAAACCUCAAGCACAAAAAAGUAAAGAUUCAUCCUUGUACCUUUUGCAUCAUGGUUUAGCUAGUCUAAUUAGGCAAAAAGACCUUAAGUCUAAUUUCCCGAAACUAAGUGAGCUAUUUUAAGGCCGCUUACUGAGCUAACCCGUCCAUGUUGCAAAAUGGUGGGAAGACCUUAAAAUAGAGGUGACAAGUCUAACGAACUUAGUUAUAGCUGGUUUCUCAAGAAAAGAAUUUUAGUCCAACCUAAAGUAAAUUCAAACUUCACCCGAAUUAGCCUCCUUACUUUAGAGUAAUUCAAACGAGGUACAGCCCAUUUGAAACAGGAUACAACCUUCACUAACGGGUAACAUUCAGUAUAUACCUUAAAGUAGGCCUAAAAGCAGCCAUCUUUUAAAAAGCGUCAAAGCUUAACCGUACAUGAAAAAAAUCUAAAAAUUCACAUUGACCCCUUUAGUUCUACUGAGAAUUUCUAUAACCCUAUAGAACCUUUUAUGCUAAAACUAGUAACAAGAGGAAACCCCUCUCCCCAAUGCAAACUUAAGCCAGUAAGAACCCCCCACUGGCAAUUAACAAAAAAGUAGCAACCCUCACUAGAAAACCCUACUUACCAAACUGUUAACCUAACACCAGAGCAUUUCAAGAAAGAUUAAAAGAAAAAGAAGGAACUCGGCAAACAUUAGCCUCGCCUGUUUACCAAAAACACCGCCUCUUGUUAUCAUAAGAGGUCCAGCCUGCCCAGUGAUUUUAUUCAACGGCCGCGGUAUUCUAACCGUGCAAAGGUAGCGUAAUCACUUGUUUUCUAAAUAAAGACUAGUAUGAAAGGCAUCACGAAGACUAAGCUGUCUCCUUUCUCCAAUCAGUGAACCUAAUCUCCCCGUGAAG
rnacentral:rRNA from 1 species